GAUGAACGCUGGCGGCGUGCCUAAUACAUGCAAGUCGAACGCGCAGCGAGAGGUGCUUGCACCUUUCAAGCGAGUGGCGAACGGGUGAGUAACACGUGGAUAACCUGCCUCAAGGCUGGGGAUAACAUUUGGAAACAGAUGCUAAUACCGAAUAAAACUUAGUAUCGCAUGAUAUCAAGUUAAAAGGCGCUACGGCGUCACCUAGAGAUGGAUCCGCGGUGCAUUAGUUAGUUGGUGGGGUAAAGGCUUACCAAGACGAUGAUGCAUAGCCGAGUUGAGAGGCUGAUCGACCCAAUUGGGACUGAGGCACGGCCCAAACUCCUACGGGAGGCUGCAGUAGGGAAUCUUCCACAAUGGGCGCAAGCCUGAUGGAGCAACGCCGCGUGUGUGAUGAAGGCUUUCGGGUCGUAAAGCACUGUCGUAUGGGAAGAAAUGCUAAAAUAGGGAAUGAUUUUAGUUUGACGGUACCAUACCAGAAAGGGACGGCUAAAUACGUGCCAGCAGCCGCCGUAA
rnacentral:rRNA from 1 species